AUUGGUCAAUGGACGGGAGUCUGAACCAGCCAAGUAGCGUGCAGGAAGACGGCCCUAUGGGUUGUAAACUGCUUUUAUAAGGGAAUAAAGUUAGUCUCGUGAGACUUUUUGCAUGUACCUUAUGAAUAAGGACCCGCUAAUUCCGUGCCAGCAGCCGCGGUAAUACGGAAGGUCCGGGCGUUAUCCGGAUUUAUUGGGUUUAAAGGGAGCGUAGGCCGGAGAUUAAGCGUGUUGUGAAAUGUAGACGCUCAACGUCUGCACUGCAGCGCGAACUGGUUUCCUUGAGUACGCACAAAGUGGGCGGAAUUCGUGGUGUAGCGGUGAAAUGCUUAGAUAUCACGAAGAACUCCGAUUGCGAAGGCAGCUCACUGGAGCGCAACUGACGCUGAAGCCCGAAAGUGCGGGUAUCGAACAGGAUUAGAUACCCUGGUAGUCCGCACGGUAAACGAUGGAUGCCCGCUGUUGGUCUGAAUAGGUCAGCGGCCAAG
rnacentral:rRNA from 1 species